rnacentral:rRNA from 1 species
CCUGGCGGCCGUAGCGCGGUGGUCCCACCUGACCCCAUGCCGAACUCAGAAGUGAAACGCCGUAGCGCCGAUGGUAGUGUGGGGUCUCCCCAUGCGAGAGUAGGGAACUGCCAUGC